rnacentral:misc_RNA from 1 species
CGCACAUUGCGCCCCUAGGUAUUCCUAAGGGCAUGCCUGUUCGAGCGUCAUUUACAUGCUCAAGCCCUGCUUGGUGUUGGGUGACUGUCCGCUCUCGUGCGGACUCGCCUCAAAGCGAUUGGUGGCUGGUACCAUGGCCUGGAGUGCGGCAGAGAUGCGCUCCACGGCUGUCAGGUGCCCGGCGCCCGCAAGUGCCCCCCAUUUUGACCUCGAAUCAGGCAGGGAUACCCGCUGAACUUAA